rnacentral:rRNA from 1 species
CUUAGAGGUAAACGAGUGGAGCCGAAGGAGUUGUAUAGAAUUCAGUCGAUUAUGUUUUGUACGUAUAUUAACAGCAUUUUUAUGGGAGUUGUUGGUAUACACUUUACAGAAUGUGAUUGAUGCAUUUUCUAUAUAACUAAACUGCGACCAAUAGUGUUGAUUUUCUGUCGUAAUUGUGAAGGUGAUCAAUUUUUCGGAAUUGGUUUUAUAGCUAAUUACAUGGUUAAUCAAUGUAUUGUUAAUUGCGGUUGGCUAAUUUUAAUAGUUAUUGAUUUGGAUUGCUUAUUAUUAGACUAUAAAUAGACUAGUUUUAAGUCGUUUAAGUCUUUGAUUGUUGAAGGGUCAACCUAAAGUCUGCAGUCAUUAUGUAGGUUACCUACUUGUCCCGUCUUGAAACACGGACCAAGGAGUUUUAUAUGAUCGCGAGUCAAAGGGCUUUACGAAACCCCAGGGCGUAAUUAAUGUAAUGAUUCACUUUAGUGAAUUGCAAUGUGACCUCGCCGUAAAAAGCUUGUGCAACAUUGACCCGUCUAAAGAUGUUCGCAUCUGGACGGAGUUUGAGCGAUCAUGUAGAGACCCGAAAGAUGGUGAACUAUGCUUGUGCAGGUUGAAGUCAGAGGAAACCCUGAUGGAAGACCGCCGCGGUUCUGACGUGCAAAUCGAUCGUCGGACAUGAGUAUAGGGGCGAAAGACUAAUCGAACCAUCUAGUAGCUGGUUCCCUCCGAAGUUUCCCUCAGGAUAGCUGGCAUUUGUUGUCGUAGUUUUACCUGGUAAAGCGAAUGAUUAGAAGUAUUGGGGACGAAAUGUCCUCAACUUAUUCUCAAACUUUAAAUGGGUUCGAAGUGCAUCUCUCUUUAUUGGAGAUGUACAUUGAAUACGAAUGCCUAGUGGGCCAUUUUUGGUAAGCAGAACUGGCGAUGUGGGAUGAACCAAACAUUUGGUUAAGGUGCCUAACAUCACGCUCAUGAGAACCCACAAAAGGUGUUGGUUGAUAAAGACAGCAGGACGGUGGACAUGGAAGUUGUCAUCCGCUAAGGAGUGUGUAACAACUCACCUGCCGAAUCAACCAGCCCUGAAA